rnacentral:tRNA from 1 species
GGGCGAUUAGCUCAGUGGGAGAGCGCUUCCUUGACACGGAAGAGGUCGCAAGUUCAAUCCUUGCAUCGCCCA